rnacentral:lncRNA from 1 species
AAGAUUCCUGGAAAACUGAAACAGCUUUCCAGAAGUGAAAUGAAAAUGAAAGAAACAAUCCAAGAUGUUUCCCUCUAUUUAUUUAUAUGCUCUCCUUUUCCAUGUUGCAUCCCAGUAAUUCCAGAUGCACCUCACCUCUAAGAUCGGUGACUUAGUGAUUUUUAGACACUCUAAAAUACCAUGAGCCACACACAGUUUUCCUUCCCCUGUUUUUACUGGAAGGCAACACUGGAGAUGUAAGUGCAGUGCUGGGCUCAGUUAGGAAUCCUACCCCAAGGGAAGGUGGCCCGACAGUGUUUGACCCUGAGCAAGGACAAUGCACAGCAGGGAGCGAGGGGAUCGCUCUGCCAGUGUGCAGGAGUCAGGGCUCUGCAUCUGCGCUCAAGGCUGCAAAGUUCCCGUGUUUGGNCCUGGGAUUUUGGAGGUCAUUACAAAUUGGCCCGAAGGUGAGAAUUUUGGUGUCACAGAUGAAAAGGAACAAGAACCAGGGACACGUGCUGAAGAGGCUCCUCCGUAUAACCAACUGCCCCCAGAGGAAACACGCUACGCUCUUUUCACUGACAGUUCCUGUCGCAUUGUAGGGAUGAACCGUAAGUGGAAAGCAGCCAUAUGGAGCCCCACACGACAGGUUGCACAAGCUACCGAAGAAGAAAGUGGAUCAAGCCAAUUUGCUGAACUCAAAGCUGUUCAACUGGCCCUAGACAUUGCUGAGAGAGAGAAGUGGCCAAGGCUCUACCUCUACACUGAUUCAUGGAUGGUAGCCAAUGCUCUGUGGGGAUGGCUGGAGAGGUGGAAAAAGGCUAACUGGCAACGUAGAGGGAAACUAAUUUGGGCUGCUGAUGAGUGGAAAGACAUUGCUACCAGGGUAGGGAAACUGCCUGUGAAAGUCCGCCAUGUAGAUGCCCAUGUACCCAAGAGUAGGGCCACUGAGGAGCACCAAAACAAUGAGCAGGUAGACCAAGCUGCAAAGAUAGGGGUGUCCAAAAUAGACCUAGAUUGGGAACAUAAGGGAGAGUUAUUCCUAGCUCNNNNNNNNNNNNNNNNNNNNNNNNNNNNNNN